UCGGAUAUGUUGCAAUGGCUAAUAAUGCUGCCUUUUAAGUUCUAAGUUUUUGCGGCAGCUCGGGGUUCGAUUCCCCGUAUCCGAA